GCAAGCGUUGUUCGGAAUUACUGGGCGUAAAGGGCUCGUAGGUGGCUCGCUAAGUCAGACGUGAAAUCCCUCAGCUUAACUGGGGAACUGCGUCUGAGACUGGCAAGCUUGAGUGCAGGAGAGGAACGCGGAAUUCCAGGUGUAGCGGUGAAAUGCGUAGAUAUCUGGAGGAACACCGGUGGCGAAGGCGGCGUUCUGGACUGCAACUGACACUGAGGAACGAAAGCCAGGGGAGCAAACGGG
rnacentral:rRNA from 1 species